rnacentral:piRNA from 1 species
UAAUGUGCAUCCAGGACCAACAGUGUCU